rnacentral:rRNA from 1 species
AUUGAACGCUGGCGGCAGGCCUAACACAUGCAAGUCGAGCGGCUCGGCGGUCGGGUGCGUAAUGCCUAGGUAUCUGCCUGUUCGUGGUGGAUGACGUCCGGUACCGGGCGCUAUUACCGCUUCCUCUCAGCUUAGCCUAGGUCGGCUUGGCUAGUUGUUGGGGUAAGGGCCUACAAGGGCGACGAUCCUUAACCGGUCUGAGUGUAUGAUCAGUCACACGGGAACUGAGACACGGUCCAGACUCCUACGGGAGGCAGAAGUGGGGAAUAUUGGACAAUGGGCGAAAGCCGGACCAAGACAUGCCGCGUGUGUGAAGAAGGUCUUCGGAUUGUAAAGCACUUUAAGUUGGGAGGCGUUACCAACAGAAUAAGCACCGGCUAACUCCGUGCCAGCAGCCGCGGUAAUAC